rnacentral:tRNA from 1 species
UCUUAGUGGCUCAGAAGGUAAAGAAUCUGCCUACAAUGCAGGAGAUCCAGGUUCAAUCCCUGGGUUGGGAA